GCGCUUGAGGAUGAGCCUGCGGCCCAUCAGCUAGUUGGCGGGGUAAAGGCCCACCAAGGCAAAGACGGGUAGCUGGUCUGAGAGGAUGAACAGCCACACUGGAACUGAGACACGGUCCAG
rnacentral:rRNA from 1 species